CCGUCUUGAAACACGGACCAAGGAGUCUAACAUGUGCGCGAGUCAUUGGGUCUGACUAAACCUAAAGGCGCAAUGAAAGUGAAGGCAGCCUCGGGUUUGCCUAGGUAGGAUCCUCUUCCGAGAAAGAGGAGGCGCACUACCGGCCCGUCUCGUCCGCAUUGCGGUGAGGCGGAGCGAGAGCGUACACGUUGGGACCCGAAAG
rnacentral:rRNA from 1 species